UGAGCAGUGAUCCCAUCAGCAAACCGUUGUGCCUAAAGCUACGCAUUCCAGUGGGGAAGAAGUGUGUGUGAGCGCACAAGCUGCUUAGGGACCCUCAGCAGGACCGAUGAAUACAGACAAUCACGAAUACCCUCAUCCAAGAUGUAUUUACCAAGAACCGAGGAUAUCCCAGGCAGUAUUCUGGGUGCUGCUACCUAAGCCAACAGCCUAUCAGGAGUUCGAUCUUCAGGCAACGGACAGCUUUUCACCACAUGCCCAGGCUACACACACACCUUGCUCUGUGCACGAUAGGUUCUCACAAGUCAGGCAAAGAACUGCUUAAAGACUUCUCAGGACUCAUGCUCUCCGUACUGGAACUGUCGAAUAAGACCUGCAAGAGACCAUCCUUCAUCAUGGAAACUGGUGACCAGUAGGAGGCGCUGUGGAUUCACGUGGCAGGCUGGGCACAACACUGCUUCAGCUUAGGGACUUGGAGGCUUCGGUUGGUUGUGCUGUACUCCUGGCAUCCAUUCACAGGGCUGGAGACAGUGAUGCUGUCCAGGUUGGCACUUGGGCAGCAGACGGUUCUGGGCACCUAGGAGAUGGAGCUGUAUGAGCUGUACGAGCUUGCACAGGCAGUGAACACUGCCAUCAACUCUGGUGUGUUCAAGUGAGAAGGCUGCUCAUCUGGCGUAGGCCUGUGGUUCCAAAUGGGUCUGCGUUCACACUGGUGUAGCAUAACAGUUGCAGGAGGGAACCAGGCCAGAAGAAGCAGUGUGUACAACUUGUUACCUGUCAGACACCUCCAUGAGCUAGCACACAACCUCUGCACACCCGAUCUACAGAAUGUAAGUAAUUAGCUCCCCACCCUUUGACACCAUUGUCCUCAAUGCACUAGUGCAUGGACAGAGAAGCUGUACACAUAACCAUCACCCUAGGAAGAGACAGCCAACCUCACACUGCCAACCAGGUAAGAGAAAUACAUGUCCCAUCUGCCUCAUUAUCUUCCCCAUGCCAUGGCCCCUGUGACAUCUGGCUCAAACAGGUGGGACAUGCAGUGACAAUGUAUCUUCCAGCCACUAAAGAAGCAAGGCAACUAAUAUGACAAUGUAAGUAGAAGUCAUGACCCAGUGUGAAGUACCAUGGUGUUUAGGGAGUAUUCUUUCUUUGAGCUUCUUGGAUUGGGAAAUUCUUCUAAGCAAAGUAACAAAAGAUUUGCAUGGCCUUCAUCAUUAGGUCUUGGAAGUGGUAGAAAUGGUAAGUCUGUGAGAACUGUUGCUUCAUUAUCUAUUUCCUGUUAGGGUGAAAUAGCAUUUGGUACCAGGAUAUUCAGAUAGAGGAUUCUAGGAACAGAAAACCUGAGACAUAUGUCUAGCCAUCUCCCCUCAAGGUAAAGGUUGCCUAACCUAAGGCAACAUGAGGGAAAUGUGUUCCUGAGAGACAAGGUACCAGAAUCCAUUAGGGAUACCAUCCAAUAGGCAAGACCAGUUCCUUAUAACAACUCUGAAGCACCAGGCCUCCUCUGCGUUGAAACAUUGGCUCAGCAAAGCACGUGUCCAUUUCUAUUGCCCUCUGAGUUGUAAAACCCAGAGUUCAGAUGUUAACACAAGUCAAAAUACAUCCUUUCUCAGCUAAAUGUCCUGGAUCAACUGGAUGCUCAUCAUUAUAGAAAUUAAUAAUAACCAAUGGUCUUCCCAGUUUUUAAUUUUCCACAAGUCUGACAAAUUCCACAAUACAGAAAAUAUACUCAUUCCCCAGGUGGUUAUGCUUCUUGUACAAAGUUUCAACACAGGAUUGACCACCACAAAGGUCCAUGUACUCUCUGGUCUAUAAUAUGCUCAUGAGAGAUAACAUGAAAUAAAAAUCUAUCCAUCAAAACUUCCCUUUUUGGGGUAGGAUGAGAACUCAUGAAACUAAAUAGUUGUUCUGAAAACAUGAGCAGGUGAGCUGACAUCUAGUGAACAAAUAAAGGCCUUGCAUCUCAAUGUGACCUAUAAAAUUAUGCCUAUGAUGAUAGAAGGUCUAGCCACACUUCUCACCAGCUUAAAGGCAAAUGUCUCAGUAUACGAGGUCAAGAUAACACUUGAGAUGCUUUACAACUUGUACAUGAGCCAACAUAUUCAAGUGGUCCAGACACACAUAUGAAGU